rnacentral:rRNA from 1 species
GAGACCGGCGUACGGGUGCGUAACACGUGUGCAACCUACCUUUAUCAGGGGGAUAGCCUUUCGAAAGGGAGAUUAAUACCCCAUAACAUAUUAGAUGGCAUCAUUUAAUAUUGAAAACCACGGUGGAUAAAGAUGGGCACGCGGAAGAUUAGAUAGUUGGUGAGGUAACGGCUCACCAAGUCAUUGAUCUUUAGGGGGCCUGAGAGGGUGAUCCCCCACACUGGUACUGAGACACGGACCAG